rnacentral:rRNA from 1 species
UACGGAGGGUGCAAGCGUUAUCCGGAUUCACUGGGCGUAAAGGGUGCGUAGGCGGGGCUUUAAGUCAGGGGUGAAAUCCUGGAGCUCAACUCCAGAACUGCCUUUGAUACUGAGGAUCUUGAGUUCGGGAGAGGUGAGUGGAACUGCGAGUGUAGAGGUGAAACUCGUAGAUAUUCGCAAGAACACCAGUGGCGAAGGCGGCUCACUGGCCCGAUACUGACGCUGAGGCACGAAAGCGUGGGGAGCAAACAGG